rnacentral:lncRNA from 1 species
AUCAGGCAUGGUGACAAGUUGUUGCCAUUGGGGGUGCUUAAAAGACUGCUUGAUAAAAGUAUCAGAAACAAGUUCAGUGUGAUGCGGAAGAAAGGUAUCAAGGGAGCAGGAGAGUUAAUGCAAUUUUGGUUCCAAAAUAGUUUGUAAAAGGGUGAUGUUUUCUUGAGGUUUACAUAACAAACAGGAUGCAUUUAUGUAAUAAGGCUUUUUUGAUGAAUAAAUUAAACAUUCAUUCAAAAAAAAAAAAUGUAUCCAAAUCAAGCUUCUCACAAAGUGAUUCAUCCUGGUUUGAUUGGAACGACGAAGAAGCUGUGCUAUUCCCAAACUGGGAAACUGGAAUCACCUGAUUUGAAAGUGGGAUAACAUCUUCAUGCCAACUCCUAUGAGAUUUAUUCAACUUCCUGGUGAUUCUCC